rnacentral:lncRNA from 1 species
UUAUUAUCUUUUUUUUUUGAAACAGAGUCUUGCUCUAUUCCCCAGACUGGAGUGCAGUAGCAUGAUCUCGGCUCACUGCAACCUCCACCUCCCGUGUUCAAGCCAUUCUCCUGCCUCAGGAGAGUAGGUGGGAUUACAGGCACCUGUCACCAUGCCUGGCUAAUUUUUGUAUUUUUUUGGUAGAGAUGUGGUUUUGCCAUGUUGGCCACGCUAGUCUCCAACUCCUGACCUCAAAUGAUCCAUCUCCCUUGGCCUCCCAGUGUUCUGUGAUUACAGGCGUGAGCCACAGCACCCCAGCCUUUAGCUAUUAACUUUCUUUUUUCUUUUUUGGAGACAGAGUCUUGCUCUGUUGCCCAGGCUGGAGUGCAGUGGCGCAAUUUCGGCUCACCACAACCUCUGCCUCCCAGGUUCAAGCGAUUCUUCUACCUCAGCCUCCCAAGUAGCUGGGACUACAGGACAAUGGCAUGAACCCAGAAGGCGGAGCUUGCAGUGAGCCGAGAUCGUGCCACUGCACUCCAGCCUGGGCGACACAGCAAGACUCCGCCUCAAAAAAACAAAAAACAAAAACAAAAAACAAAAUAAGCUGGAUAUGCUGGUGCAUGCCUGUAGUCCCAGCUACUAGGAAGGCUGAGGCAGGGGGAUCACCUGAGCCCAGGAGGCCUAGGGUGCAGUGACUAUAGUGAGCCGUGUUCGAACCACUGCACUCCGGGCU